rnacentral:rRNA from 1 species
AUGACGGACCAGCUCCGCAUGUUCGACGACUACAAGCAGAAGGUCCGGGCCGCCGCCGGCGACGCCGCGCUCUCGGACAUCCUGGCCAAGGGCAUCUUCGUUGUGUGCACCGGCAGCGACGUGACCAACACCUACUUCACCCUGCGCGCGCGCAGCUCCUACUCCCACGCCUCCUACGCGUCCUUCGUCGUCGCCCACGCCGCCGCCUUCCUUGACGGCCUACUCUCCGCGGGUGCCCGCCAUGUCGCCGUCAUCAGCCUCCCGCCCGUCGGCUGCAUGCCCUCUCAGCGCACGCUCUCCGGCGGCAUGGCCCGGGACUGCUCCCCCGGCCCCAACGAGAUCGCUGAGAUGGUGAACGCCGGCAUGGGCUCCGCCGUGGACUCCCUCAAAGCGAACAACCCGGGGGCGAAGGUGGUGCUGGUGGACAUGUAUGGGUUCUUUAUGGACAUGAUGGUGCGCCCCCAGGGGUACGGGUUCAGGGAAUCCACGCUGGGCUGCUGCGGCACGGGCAUGAUGGAGGUCUCCGUGCUCUGCAACGGCGUCACGUCGGCGGUGUGCGGGGUCAUUGCCGACUACCUGUUCUGGGACAGCUACCACCCCACGGAGAAGGCCUACGGGAUCCUCGUCGACUUCGUCUACGACGAGUACCUCCAGAAGCUCAUCGAGUAG